GGAUAACGUUAGUACUAGUAUCAAAUCUUACAAUACUAAAAGGAGAAUAAGCUCAAAGGAUAGGCAUGCCACCUCAGAUUAAAAAAUCGACCAAUAAGAGCUUUUCAGUUUACCACGUCACAUAGCUUGGUCCAUUUAAGAGAGUAAUUGGGCUUCACGUUUGUCUCUUAAAAACAAAUAAUGACCCAUUAUCCAGUCCAGUUUAAAAACCCUCCUCUCCUAUCAAUCGAUGAAGCCGACUCUUCAUUCCUUCUUCCCUGUUUCCGAUCUCAGCAACCACCGUUACCGCGAAUCCCCUUCUCAUCAAUCAAUGUUCCUCUUUAAUCUCUUCUUGAUGGUUUCAUUCCAUCUCUCGUUGAUCUUCCUCUUAUAUAAGUCGCUUCAUCUAAACCUAAAUCUAGACAAAACCUAAAAUCUCCCCUUACAAAACUACAUCUACGGCGAUGGAAUAGAGGUAGUAUAAUAUCAUCAUGUAGAAAUAUAACACAGUUUAUACUGGGUGGAUUUUGAUGUCCCUCUUCAACUUCCUACCUCUGAACGAGUGAUUUCUCACACCCACACGACAAGCACAAGUGGCUACAAAGAACGUCAUCGGAACACAUUUUCCAUCGGUAUAUGAGAACAUUGUGUUAUCCACUCAUUGAUUUGUGUCUCUCAGUGUUAUGUCUGAUAGUUUUUCCUAUCUUUCUUAACUCUCAUUCGGCAUAAAGUGUUGGCAGAAUUUCUAAUGUUUUCUUUACAGCCAAGAAAUCAUGGCAAGCUCAAGCUCGGCUCUUAAUUACGAGAUUACUAUGUUUCUUGGUGCUUACUUUUAUUGGUUCUUUUUCUUCAUGAUCAGUUGUGGUUUUCAAAUAUAGAUGAGUGUUGCCUAAUGAUUUUGUUCUACACUUAUGUUGUGCAGUUUACCUAGACUAACUUAGCUGAAGCUAUUGGUGCUUCCCUCCAGUCAAUAGAUGGUUACAUGUUUAUUAUGGAUCAGUACGUCUGCUACAAAUUUUAGACUUUCUCUAACCCAUCUUUUUUAUUCUGUAUGGUUUAUUGGGUAAGUAAAAUGUAGAGUAGUGCAGAAAAAUAGGAAAAUAUGAAUAAUAUUUUAGUGUUUGUAAAUCCUUUUUUAAUCUCUAUCUGCUUUUCAGAUUAUGACCGAGAAGAUUAAAACUGGUGCAUAUCUAAAUUGUCUAUGGAUUACCAACCACAUGAGUUUAGAGUAUUCGCCAACUCCAGUGGUACAUGCAUAGUACAUGUGGCAGAGGAGAUACAUGGAUACACCAACCAGCAACGUUUGUAUCAUCAGCAUUUUGUUUCCACCAAGAUGCGAGUCUAUAUUGGCAGUAGAGAGACCAGGAAGAGAGUCAUACAUCGGCAGUAGAGAGGAAUAAGAAAACGAGUUGGUGGACGCUAAAAGAGAUUGCCAUGUUGUACAUGAAGUCUAUUUUCAUGAAAUAUGGCAAUAACAGGAGGGGUGUCCUUUGGAUUUGGGAUUUUGGACGAGUACAUAGCAAAUGAGAGAGUAUGGCGUUUUUUCUUUGAAUUUGUUUUCGAAGAGCUCUUGAUCAAAUGGUGUGAACACUUAGCUUGAUUCUUUUGCCACCUAAUCUAUGCUACGUAUGACCUUCCUUCUUUAAGUUUGUCAUGUAAGCUGUGUAACAAACACUAGCCAUAAGCCUAACUAACGUUUUCUAUAGGAAAAGGUAUUUUUAUAUUUUUCUAUAUUGUGUGGGUGGAAAGAAGUAAUUCGGUAUUUAUUUGAGUUUUUGUUUUUUCAAAGCACA